rnacentral:rRNA from 1 species
GACGAACGCUGGCGGCGUGCUUAACACAUGCAAGUCGAACGGAAAGGCCCUGCUUGCAGGGUGCUCGAGUGGCGAACGGGUGAGUAACACGUGGGUGAUCUGCCCCUUACUUUGGGAUAAGCCUGGGAAACUGGGUCUAAUACUGGAUAGGACCAUGCUGUAGGUGGUGUGGUGGAAAGAUUAGUUUCGGUAAGGGAUGAGCUCGCGGCCUAUCAGCUUGUUGGUGGGGUAAUGGCCUACCAAGGCGUCGACGGGUAGCCGGCCUGAGAGGGUGGACGGCCACAUUGGGACUGAGAUACGGCCCAGGCUCCUACGGGAGGCAGCAGUGGGGAAUAUUGCACAAUGGGCGCAAGCCUGAUGCAGCGACGCCGCGUGGGGGAUGACGGCCUUCGGGUUGUAAACUCCUCUCAGCCAUGACGAAGCCCUUGUGGUGACGGUAGUGGUAGAAGAAGCACCGGCUAACUACGUG